UACAGAGGUCUCAAGCGUUGUUCGGAUUCAUUGGGCGUAAAGGGUGCGUAGGCGGCGGGGCAAGUCUGAUGUGAAAUCCCGGGGCUCAACCCCGGAACUGCACUGGAUACUGCCCUGCUUGAGCACUGGAGAGGAGACUGGAAUUUACGGUGUAGCAGUGAAAUGCGUAGAGAUCGUAAGGAAGACCAGUGGCGAAGGCGAGUCUCUGGACAGUUGCUGACGCUGAGGCACGAAGGCCAGGGGAGCAAACGGG
rnacentral:rRNA from 1 species